rnacentral:rRNA from 1 species
GGGGAAUAUUGCGCAAUGGGCGAAAGCCUGACGCAGCGACGCCGCGUGAGGGAUGAAGGCCUUCGGGUUGUAAACCUCUUUCAGCAGGGACGAAGCGAAAGUGACGGUACCUGCAGAAGAAGCACCGGCCAACUACGUGCCAGCAGCCGCGGUAAUACGUAGGGUGCAAGCGUUGUCCGGAAUUAUUGGGCGUAAAGAGCUCGUAGGCGGUCUGUCGCGUCGGCUGUGAAAACUCGGGGCUCAACCCCGAGCCUGCAGUCGAUACGGGCAGACUAGAGUGCUGUAGGGGAGACUGGAAUUCCUGGUGUAGCGGUGAAAUGCGUAGAUAUCUGGAGGAAUACCGGUGGCGAAGGCGGCAUCCUGGACCGACAUUGACGCUGAUGAGCGAAAGCCAGGGGAGCAAAC